GACGAACCGUGCGAACGUUGUUCGGAAUCACUGGGCUUAAAGGGCGCGUAGGCGGACCGUCCAGUCAGGGGUGAAAGCCCCCGGCCCAACCGGGGAAGUGCCUCUGAGACGAACGGUCUCGAGCGGGAUAGGGGCAGCUGGAACUUCCGGUGGAGCGGUGAAAUGCGUAGAGAUCGGAAGGAACGCCGGUGGCGAAAGCGAGCUGCUGGAUCCCUCCUGACGCUGAGGCGCGAAAGCCAGGGGAGCGAACGGG
rnacentral:rRNA from 1 species